rnacentral:snRNA from 1 species
GUGCUCGCUUCGGCAGCACAUAUACUAAAAUGGGAACGAUACAGAGAAGAUUAGCGUGGCCCCUGCGCCAGGAUGACACACA